CUGGGCAACCUGUGCCAGUGUCUCACCACCCUCACAGGAAAGAAUUUCUUCCUUACAUCUAAUCUAAAUCUACCCUCUUUCAGAUUAAAACCAUUACCCCUCUAUCAUUACACUCCCUGAUAAAGAGUCCCUC